CCUACGGGAGGCAGCAGUGGGGAAUAUUGGGCAAUGGGCGCAAGCCUGACCCAGCAACGCCGCGUGAAGGAAGAAGGAUUUCGGGUUGUAAACUUCUUUUAAGAGGGAAGAGCAGAAGACGGUAUCUCUUGAAUAAGCCACGGCUAAAUACGCGCCAGCAGCCGGGGUAAUACGUAGGUGGCAAGCGUUGUCCGGAUUUACUGGGUGAAAAGGGCGUGCAGCCGGGAAGACAAGUCAGGUGUGAAAUCCCGCGGCUCAACCGCGGAACUGCAUUAGAAAGUGUUUUUCUUGAGUACCGGAGAGGUCAGCGGAAUUCCUUGUGUAGCGGUGAAAUGCGUAGAUAUUAGGAAGAACACCAGUGGCGAAGGCGGAUGACUGGACGGCAACUGACGUUGAGGCGCGAAAGCGUGGGGAGCAAACAGGAUUAGAUACCCCAGUAGUC
rnacentral:rRNA from 1 species